rnacentral:lncRNA from 1 species
CCGCAUGAGAGGGACGCGCUGCUGGCCUUCAAGCAACGCAUCACCCUCGAUUACUACGGCUUCCUCUCGUCAUGGAAACAAGGUGGCCAGGAAGAAGAAGAAGAAGAAGACUGCUGCCAGUGGAGAGGCGUCACGUGCAGCAACCGAACCGGCCACGUCGUCAAGCUCGAUCUCGGUGAUGCAGGUUUAAAAGGCCAAAUAAGUCCUUCUCUUCUUUCCCUCGAGCAACUGGAGUCCCUCGAUCUCAGCUUGAAUUGGUUCAAUAAUGGCUCUAUCCCAACUUUUCUGGGUUGUUUCAAGAAUUUGAGAUAUCUGAAUCUCUCGCACACGUCUUUCACUGGUACAUUUUCUCAUCAGCUUAGCAACCCUUCCAAACUUGAGUACCUUGGCAUGGACAAUGUAAAUCUCAGCACAAUAGCUGAUUGGCCUCUUGUGGUGAACAUGAUUCCAUCUCUGAAGGUCCUCCACCUUUUUGGCUGUUCACUUCAAAGUGCAAACCAAUCGCUUACACACCUAAACUUAACCAACCUUGAAGAUCUCGAACUCUCACAUAACUUUUUUGGUCAUCCAAUUGCAUCUUGCUGGUUUUGGGACGUAAAAGGCAUCAAGCACCUUGUCCUUGAUGAAACCUAUCUUAAUGGUCCAUUCCCAGAUACAUUAGGAGAAAUGACGUCCCUCCAAGAGCUAUAUUUUGGUGUAAAUGGCAACUUAGCCACGAUGACGGUGGACUUGAAAAACCUUUGUGAAUUAAGAGUUCUAGCACUUGAUAGCAGUCUCUCUAAUGGAAACAUCACGGAGUUUAUAGACAAAUUGCCAAAAUGUUCUUCUAGCAGAUUAUCCGCCUUGGUUUUGGAAGACAAUAAUAUGACUGGAGUGCUGCCGACUAUGUUGGAGCACUUGACUAGCCUAGAAAGUCUUGACCUUUUUAACAACAGCAUAAGUGGACCUAUACCGCCAGAGAUUCUGAAUUUGACA